rnacentral:piRNA from 1 species
UGACAUUUGGCAUCUCUCCACAGCCU